AUUGAACGCUGGCGGCAGGCCUAACACAUGCAAGUCGAACGAGUGGCGGACGGGUGAGUAAUGUCUGGGAACCUGCCCGAUGGAGGGGGAUAACUACUGGAAACGGUAGCUAAUACCGCAUACCAUCGGAUGUGCCCAGAUGGGUUGAGCUAGUGGGUGGGGUAAUGGCACACCUAGGCGACGAUCCCUAGCUGGUCUGAGAGGAUGAAAAGGCACACUGGAACUGAGACACGGUCCAGACUCCUACGGGAGGCAGCAGUGGGGAAUAGUGCACAAUGGGCGCAAGCCUGAUGCAGCCAUGCCGCGUGGAUGAAGAAGGCCUUCGGGCUGUAAAGUACUUUCAGCGAGGAGGCGUUACUCGCAGAAGAAGCACCGGCUAACUCCGUGCCAGCAGCCGCGGUAAUUC
rnacentral:rRNA from 1 species